CGGAUUGUAGGCUGAAACUCGCCUACAUGAAGCUGGAGUUACUAGUAAUCGCAGAUCAGAAUGCUGCGGUGAAUGCGUUCCCGGGUCUUGUACACACCGCCCGUCAAGCCAUGGGAGCCGGGGGCGCCUGAAGUCCGGGACCGCGAGGACCGGCCUAGGGCGAAACUGGUAACUGGGGCUAAGUCGUAACAAGGUACC
rnacentral:rRNA from 1 species